rnacentral:rRNA from 1 species
UACGGAGGGUGCGAGCGUUGUCCGGAAUCAUUGGGCGUAAAGGGCGCGUAGGUGGCGGGACAAGCGUGCGGUGAAGCCUGGGCUCAACCCGGGUCGGCCGUGCGAACUGUUUGCUUGAGCACUGUAGAGGCAGGCGGAAUUCCGGUGUAGCGGUGGAAUGCGUAGAGAUCCGGAAGAACACCGGUGGCGAAGGCGGCAUCCUGGACCGGUAUUGACGCUGAGUGAGCGAAAGCCAGGGAGCAAAGCGGGAU